rnacentral:misc_RNA from 1 species
UUAGCGGGUAUUAGGAUGGUUGGGUUUGUGAAAAACGAAUUUGAUUCGAAAUUUUAGAAAAGCAAUGCAAUUCCAGAGACAAACAACGCUCAAACAAGUAUACUUUGGGGGAUACCCCAAAGUGCAAUGUGCGCUCAAAAACUGAUGAUUCACUUCUGCAAUUCACAAGAAAUAUCGCGUUUCGCUGCGUUCUUCAUCGAUACGAGAACCAAGAGAUCCAUUGUUAAAAGUUUUGAUUAUUUUUGUUUUGAUUGUAUGAUUAUUGUUGGCUGUAUAAAUUUCACAAAUAUUAUCAAUUCUUAAUGAUCCUUCCGCAGGUUCACCUACGGAAACCUUGUUACGACUUCACCUUCA